CCUACGGGAGGCAGCAGUGAGGAAUAUUGGACAAUGGAGGCAACUCUGAUCCAGCCAUGCCGCGUGCAGGAUGACGGCCCUAUGGGUUGUAAACUGCUUUUAUGUAGGAAGAAACACUCUCACGUGUGAGAGCUUGACGGUACUACAAGAAUAAGGACCGGCUAACUCCGUGCCAGCAGCCGCGGUAAUACGGAGGGUCCAAGCGUUAUCCGGAAUCAUUGGGUUUAAAGGGUCCGUAGGCGGGCUAUUAAGUCAGAGGUGAAAGUUUGCAGCUCAACUGUAAAAUUGCCUUUGAAACUGGUAGUCUUGAAUUAUUAUGAAGUGGUUAGAAUAAGUAGUGUAGCGGUGAAAUGCAUAGAUAUUACUUAGAAUACCAAUUGCGAAGGCAGAUCACUAAUAAUAUAUUGACGCUGAGGGACGAAAGCGUGGGGAGCGAACAG
rnacentral:rRNA from 1 species